rnacentral:rRNA from 1 species
GGGUCGCGACGUGCACGCCUCGUCUUUGUCUCUCUCACACACCUGUGCACCUCUGCGUGGGUCACGAGCGUUCACUCGUUCGGGGCUCGCGUCCUUUUGACACUACACACACCCCUUUGCAUGUUAUCGGAACGCUUCGUUCGCCGUGGUGGCGAAUAGAACUUGUACAACUUUCAACAACGGAUCUCUUGGCUCUCGCAUCGAUGAAGAACGCAGCGAAAUGCGAUAAGUAAUGUGAAUUGCAGAAUUCAGUGAAUCAUCGAAUCUUUGAACGCACCUUGCGCCUCUUGGUAUUCCGAGGGGCACGCCUGUUUGAGUAUCGUGAAAUCGUCAACCCGACUCUUUUUUUUCUUUCCCUUUUGGGAUGGAUAGAGAGAAGGGCUUGGACUUUGGAGGUUCUUGCUGGUCCCUUUGUCUGGACCGGCUCCUCUCGAAUGCAUUAGUGGAGCUCGUCUGCUCUCUCUCUGCCUCUCGGUGUGAUAAACUGAUCUGCGCCGACGUGUGAGGGAGGAUGAAGCGCCGCUUCUAACCCGGUCUCGCCUUCACCUUCUAGGGGGUGUCGCGUGUUGCC